UACGAAGGGAGCUAGCGUUGUUCGGAAUCACUGGGCGUAAAGCGCACGUAGGCGGAUUUGUCAGUCAGGGGUGAAAUCCCGGGGCUCAACCUCGGAACUGCCUUUGAUACAGCAAGUCUUGAGUUCGAGAGAGGUGGGUGGAAUUCCCGGUGUAGUGGUGAAAUGCGUAGAGAUGCGGAGGAACACCGAUGGCGAAGGCAGCCCCCUGGGCUGACACUGACGCUCAGGCACGAAAGCGUGGGGAGCAAACAGG
rnacentral:rRNA from 1 species